rnacentral:rRNA from 1 species
CAUAACCCCGGGAAACUGGGUAUAAUACCCGAUAGGUCUCGAUUGCUGGAAUGCAUCGAGAUUUAAAGCUCCGGCGCCUGAGGAUGGGUCUGCGGCCUAUCAGGUAGUAGUGGGUGUAGCGUACCUACUAGCCUACGACGGGUACGGGUUGUGAGAGAAAGAGCCCGGAGAUGGAUUCUGAGACACGAAUCCAGGCCCUACGGGGUGCAGCAGGCGCGAAAACUUUACAAUGCUGGCAACAGCGAUAAGGGAACCUCGAGUGCCAGGUUACAAAUCUGGCUGUCGAGAUGCCUAAAAAGCAUUUCAUAGCAAGGGCCGGGCAAGACCGGUGCCAGCCGCCGCGGUAACACCGGCGGCUCGAGUGGUAACCGUUAUUAUUGGGUCUAAAGGGUCUGUAGCCGGCCGGAUAAGUCUCUUGAGAAAUCUGGCAGCUUAACUGUCAGGCUUUCAGGAGAUACUGUCUGGCUCGAGGCCGGGAGAGGUGAGAGGUACUUCACGGGGUAGGGGUGAAAUCUUGUAAUCCUUGAAGGACCACCAGUGACGAAGCGUCUCACCAGAACGGACCUGACGGCAAGGGACGAAAGCUAGGGGCACGAACCGGGAUUAGAUACCCGGGUAGUCCUAGCCGUAGACGAUACUCGCUAGGUGUCGGCCACGGUGCGACCGCUGUCGGUGCCGUAGGGAAGCCGUGAAGCGAGCCACCUGGGAAGUACCGGCCGCCAAGGCCUGAACUUAAAGGGAAUUGGGCGGGGGGGAGCCACCCACUAUCGGGGUGGGAGCUUGCCUGUUUUAAUUGGAUUCCAACGCCGGAAAUCCUUACCUGGGACCGACCAGGCCAAUAUUGAAUGUCCAAGGCCUGAAGACUUUGCCUGGAAUUAACCUGAAAAGGGUGGGUGCC